GGUAGCCAAAAAUGUUCUCUAGUAAGGCUCAGGUAUAUAUAUGGAAAAAUGUGGGAUCCCAAAGCAAAGCUAUGUAAUCGAACCCGUGAAAAGUUUGCGUUUGAUGAGGGAAAGGAAGAAGGUGGAGAAUGAGGCAAGUGGAAAGAGAGAAAAAAUGCUGGUAAUCUUAUAAUAACGCAGGAAGGGCCGGUCAUUUUUGAUAGAAAAGGAACUCUAGGGCGUGAUCAUCCCCUUUCAGCAGGUCGACUCGACGAUCUGGGACCCUCCGUAAAAUCCGCUUUUAGAAGGCGUCGGCUUGACUAGACGGACUCGAAUGAUCUCGUCGAGGGGAAUUAUUCUUUCUUUUUUAUCCGUUAGAAGAGAAAAGGAAAGAGAGAGAGAGAGAGAGAGAGAGAGAGAGAGAGAGAGAGAGAGAGAAAUAUUUAUCUUUAGUAAAAGUGGUGAUUCAAGUAGAGUAGAUAUCGCUUAUCUAUUUCGGAUUUCACUCAGGCUGUUAUCGUUUGCAACAACUUGAGCGUUAGACGAGGCGCCGGUGAAAAUCGAUGCGUUUAGCUAUUUAAACGAAAUCAAUUACGGCUACCGACAGGACUACCGGCGCGUAAUCCAACGGCUCUUACGCUUGGCUAUGCGAGAACGCUUCAACGGGGUGCCGCGUGGCUCUCGUCCAAUGCCCUUCCAGAUAUUGCGAAACGCCGUUGGCAUCCAAUCGGGCCAACGGAUCGGACUUGUAAGCCCGCGUCAUUAGAUUGAAUUAGUCGUUCCUGGAAUACGCUUACGAUCCUCGAUCGUCUCUCCCUUUCGUAAUUCAAGCUCCGAUGAACGAUCCUUCGAUCGUUGUUACAUUAUACCUAAAUAUCUCCAUAUGAAUCUCGAUGAUACUCUCAUAUUUCUAUUUAAUUAUUAAUAAUUACUUUUUAAGAUUAACAUCAGUAUCAUCACGGAUAUUAGAAUGAAGCGUUUAAGGGAAAAAAUAGAGGCGACUUCUUAUCUCUGAUCGCUGUGCAUUCUCGUAAAACGGCAGUUCGUAGAAGUUCGUCUUUUCGCUCGGUCUUUUUUCCUUUUAUUUUUCCCUCUUAUUUUUAACGGCCAAGGAGAUCCAUGACAGUGUGACGUUCCCUCUUGUCUUGUCCCGUUCUUUUCCAUUGCCGGAAGCGUAAACGUGCCCCGUUUUCUCUUGGCGGUAAUGGCCGCUGCGAUCCCACACGCGUAAUUGUUAGCAACGAAGGAAAAGAUCUUUAUCGGCUGCGGCGUAAUAAUUAUCACCGUGCCGGUGGUCACUUGUGCGUUAUGCCGCUUUAUACCGCAGCCUCAAUGCUCGUCGUACUUUUCCUUCUCUUUCUCUGUUUCUCUUUUCGUCUUUCUCUCUCUUUCCCUCUCUCUCUCUCUCUCUCUCUCUCUCUCUCUCUGUCUCUCUGUUUCUCUAUCUUUCUUGCGGAAUGCGAAGCGAUCUUCUGGCGGCACGCAAACAAGGCGUGUCUUUAAUGAACUCGAACUCGCGCGGCUCGAAUUAGAUUUCUUAUUCGCGAAGCAGCGUACGGAAGCAGAAAAAUCGGAGGGAUGAUCGUAAGCGGCAUCGUCUUUCCUAUCUACACGAAUAACCAACUUGAUGCUUUAAAGACUCGCUUGUUGAAGUUACGCGAAGCGUAAUUAAAAAUACGAAGUAUUUUACUAUUUCUUAGAAAGUGGCUUGAAUUAACAUUUACGAGUUAACAGACCCAGAAAAGAUAAAUACCCUCUUUAUUUUUCAUAAUUCUUGAUUCAACUGGAACUUUUCAUUUUGAAGAACCAUGAAAAUUAAAAAUUAGUCCGAAGUUUUGAAAAUCUACCGCCAUACGAAGGAUUUAAUUGAAACUCACCCCUAACAGACUCCUUCCUUAUCGACAUACUGUUAAAGAAAAAAAAAACAAACAAAAAAAAAAACAAGAAAAAAAAACAGAAAAACUAUAUCUACGAAAUAUUAUUUAUUCUAUCGAAUAAUUAAUUUUUCCUUCAUAUUGGAUCGAAAAUGAAAAAUUUUAACGGGUUCGUCGUCACUCGAUCAUCACUGUAACCAUACUUUUUUUAGAAAACUGCAAUUUUUCAAGAAAACUACCCACCGGGAGAUGUCACUAGCACGCAGUCUUUCGGGGACGUUUAAAUGUUACGUCGGUAAGCGGUAAAAUUGCAGAUCACGCUCUUAUCGACGAAUUUCAUCCCCAAUUUUGUCGCGUAUCAAACAUCGGUAUGCGAGCUUCUUAGGAAACUGCAAUUUAUAUGGGGAUGAUGUACAUUCUCUGUGUGUACCAGUCUCCUAAUUAUUACUUCCGUACAUGUACAUAUUUUCUACAGAAAAAUUAAAAAUUCUUAUUAACAUUUGCAUUAUUUUUAUAGAAUAUCAUUGAUCCAAUGACAUAAUCAAAAUGAAAAAGACGGGAAAAAAAGUGAAAGAAGCAUAGAAACAAUAUACACAAAUACGAAAUAAGAAAGAGAGAGAGAGAGAGAGAGAGAGAGAGAGAUAAAUUACACGUUUUAUAAUUUAUUAUCAAUCAUAGAAUUAAAAUGUCGACGGAAUACCAAAGAAGAAACAUAACGUUAUAGUCAACGAGAUCGAGCGUAUCGGGUUAGCAACUGCCGACAGAUGGCGAUGAAUAUAGUCGGUGGCGCCAGCUGGCGCGACACGCGUCUAUCUUUCUUUCGUAUUCACGGCGACGCUCGACGGAAAAUCUAUGGAAAAAAAUAGUUGCCGAGUGGCAUAGAGAAGUGGGGGAGAUUCAUCGAAUGGGGGCGGAGUUACGGCGCGCGGCGUGUUUGCAUCGCGAAAGAAGUGGGAAAAAGAGCGAGUGGCUCGCGCCUGCUCGGCUUUUUCCGCGCGAUCUUUCUUCCCCUCCACCAACUACCCCUCUACCACCCCCUAUCCCAUUGCUAAGUCUCUCUUUUACCACCAUCCCCUCUAACCCCCCUCAUUCCCUCCCUCUUUCUCUCUCUCACUCUCUCUCUCUCUCUCUCUCUCUCUCUCUCUCUCUCUCUCUCUCUCUCUCUCUCUCUCUCUCUCUCUUAUCGAGUUCCGUCAAACUACUAGGCGGGGUUCGAAAAACGGUUUCGCGCCUCUCGCGGAGGGGUAAUACAAGGUGGAGCUAGUGACGCGCGGAAUUCCGGAAUUCCGCGAAAGGCGAGAAACGGUGGGAGGGUUGGGUGACUGUAUCGCUGUCGAUGGUGGUAGGGAGGAAGAUGAGAGUGCUCCCGUUCGAAGUAUCGAAGGGGAAAACGACGAGCGGUUCGAAGAGACCGAUCGGAACUUCGCCAGUUCAACGCGUGUCAACCCUCUCUCGAGAUACGCUGCUCUCCUCGUUUCGUACAAAAGCAAUAACUUCGUAAUACAUUCUUCUCUUAUUUCUCAAUUUUCUCGAUCGUCUUUAUUCUUCUUCGGUACGUUCAUUUGAAACGAGAAAAAAGAAAAAGAAAAGAAAAAAAAAAGGGGGAAAAGAGAAAAAAAGAACGAAAAGAAAAAAUAAAAGGAAAAAAAGGAGAAAGAAGAAAAGGAAAGAGAAGAAAAGGAAAAUAAAAAGGCAAAAAUUCUUUUCGAUUAUAAACAACGUGCAGUGUGCUCUUGGAAGGAAAUUUUAUCGGAGGCGUAUCCUACGUGUGUUUUGUAUACGUGCAUAUAUUUAAUGGUUCGUAUACGUAUGUACAUCGACGUUCUUAUAAUUCUGCGUGGGAGUACGAGAUUAAUUUCGUGUCCGAGCAUCGUCCGUUUCGUUCUCGUUGUUUUACACGGCGUAACUCUAUCGCUCGGUCUUCUUCUACCACGUUUGCCGUGGGUUCGUUCGGUGAAUGGUUCUAGUGUCUUACUUGAAAAUCCUCGACGAGAGAUCAAUCGAGGAGAGAAGAAAAACGAAGGAGAUGGCAAAAGUUCGAAGACAAAUCGUGUGUUUACGAUAUCAAAGAGUUCUUCUUUUUGCAAGAGGUACUCUCGUCCCUUUUAAAGGGAAUGAAACGAUAAGGGAUGCCUUUAAAUGCGCUGCCUCGUGCUCAUCGUCGAGCGACCGUUCGGAAUCUAUCAUUCUCUUUCUCUCUCUCUCCCUCUCUCUCUCUCUCUCUCUCUCUCUCUCUUUCUCUCAUCGUCUACGAAACCGAUCGAUUUCACGAAGUCGAAACGAUAUUCUGUGCCGGUCGAAAGACGCUAUCGCGUCGUGCCUUUCAGCCUGGCACCUUUCGAGACGAUAGCCGCGUUAUCGUUUACAAGUACGGCGCAUGGCAAACACUUGGCGCGAACGAUAAGAUGGAACAGUUUCGAAGCGCGCCAGGCAACCGCAUGAAUCUCUCUCUCUCUCUCGCUCUCUCUCUCUCUCUCUCUCUCUCUCUCUCUCGAUAUUUCUCCUUUGCAACAAGCGUGUUUCAUUCUUACCAGGAUGAUAAAACUUUUAAAAAGAAUAAGAUCAAAUCAAGUCGAUAUCACUUGAUUCUUUUUUAUUCUUCGAGAUUUCGUCAACGUAAGAUUUAUAUACAUAUAUAUAUAUAUAUAUAUAUAUAUAUAUAUAUAUAUAUAUAUGUAUAUAAAUCUUGUGAAAAGAUCGUAAGCGCGUAUUUGAAAACUGUCCUUUUUCCUCUUUCUCUCCUUAAACGAAAUUGCGGAUUUCUUAUUCGGAAAAGUGCGGCGCACGCGGCACCGAGAACGCGCGACGCGUGCUGAGAAACGCGUAUCGAGCCUCUCCAUCCCCCCACCAGAACUUUUGGUGGGAAGCUGCUGCUGAAUAUCCCCACCAGAAAAGCUUUCAACUCCCCGCCAGUUUGCGGCGGAGGAGGAAGACGAGGAUGGAACGAUCGACGGGUAUACGCAAGAUCGAGUAAAACGAGAAACCCCUACUCUGUUUUGGGUGUUGUGUGGAGGGGUGAGAGAUAGAUAGAUAGAUAGAGAGAGAGAGAGAGAGAGAGAGAGAGAGAGAAAUAGAAAGAGAGAACGAAAUGGAUGAAAAGAGACAGAGACAGAGAGAAAAAGAGAGAGAGAGAGAGAGAGAGAGAGAGAGAAAUAUAGAGAAAGAGGAAAGGAGCAAAGGGAGGGUGCGAGCAAAAGAGGGGAAAGUUCGACUCACCCUCUCGUUUACCACUCCCCUUCCACCAACCAGCGGAGCGCGCUCCUCUCCCACGUAGCGGCGCCAACCGACGAGAUCUUUGUUGGUCGUUGCGCUCGAGAGACUCCGUUUCCGACGCCGCCAAGCGGCGAGUGCGCGAACCAUUCCCUGAGAAUUGUGGUGGGGAUAGUGUAUAGUAGUGGGGAUAAGCGGAGAGCGGGCAGCGUACGAGGACGGAGGCACGCUGCUCUCGGGACGCGCAGAACAUCGGAGUGGCUCGCGAAGGACGGCUGCCUCUUUUCCCCUCUCACUUUUUCUCACUCUAUCUCUCUCUCUUUUUCUCGCACGCGAUAUCUCUCCCUCCCUCCCACCCUUCCACCCUCUCUCACUCUCUUUUUCUCUAUCUAUCUUUUUCUAUAUUUCUCUCUCUCUCUCUCUCUCUCUCUCAUUUUUUCUCUCUCUCACUCCCUUGCACUCACUAACACGCUCUUUUUUUACUAUCCUUCUCUUACUACCCUUUCUUUCUCGAAUCGUAUUUCUCUCUCUCUCUCUCUCUCUUUCUUUCUCUCUCUCUCUCUCUCUUUCUCUCGUUUUCUCAUUCUCUCUCUCUCUCUCUCUCUCUCUCUUUCUCUCUCACUCUUUCUCUCUUUCUCUUUCUCGCGUACUCUUUUGCUCCUCGAACGGAGCGCGAGUCGGAGGAAGAGAGGCGCACAGGAUGGCGGGGCGAGAGUCGGCUUACUACGCGGCGAAACGCCUCGACGGCGUUCAGUCGUCAGCGAUCAGACCGCCGGGCAGUGCGGACCCACUCUUCCGAACAGUCACUCACUCUCUCUCCUACUCUCCUCUCUUUAUCUCGUAUACAUUAUACCCUGCAACUCCUACGUACCUGUCCAACUCAUAUUCGCGAUGUAUACAUAUAUAUAUAUGUAUGUAUAUAUAUAUACAUAUAUGUAUAUAUAUAUAUAUAUGUAUAUAUAUAUGUAUAUAUAUAUGUAUAUAUAUAUAUAUAUAUAUAUAUAUAUAUAUACACACGUCUACCAAAGGACUUCUCAACUAUACUGGAAUAUUUAUUUCUACGAUCUUGGAAUAGUUUUCGAAGAAUCAAUCCACUCUUCCUUCCCUUCAAUUCCAAUUUCGAAUUUCUCGAAUUUCGAAAUCGCCGUCCGCGGACUCGGUAACGAGAAGAAUACGUUCGUAAUACGUGACUUGAUAUUAAUCGAGAAAGAGAGAGAUAGAGAGAGAGAAAAAGAGAGACAGAGAGAGAGAGAGAGAGAGAGAAAGAGUGAGAGAGAGAGAGAGAGAGAGAGAAAGAGGGAGAUAGAGAGAAGAAUUCGAGAAUCGAACACGUUUUGGGAGAUCGUCGAAAAUCGUAAACGAAGACGAAUUCGAACGAGGGAUGGAUGGAUUCACUCGGCCAAUUUAUUCGAGGAAAGAUAAAGUGAACGUCCUCCUACGAAUAAAACGAAGACACAUCAUCGAGACGAGAAAAAUGGAAUCAUCUAACAACGUCGGAAGAUCUUGUAAAUAACGGAAGAGGAUAGAUAGUGUACGAUUUUAUACGACGAAAGUUAUUAUUUUUUUUUUAGUUCUCUUCUUUUUUUCCUUUCUUUCUUUCGUUCUUUUUUUUUUUCUUUGUUCUUUGUUUUUUCUUCUCUCUCUUAUUCUCUUUUUUUUUUCUUUUUUUUUUUUUCUUUUGACAAUUUUACUUUUCGCCGUGAUAUAAACGAAAUCGAGGAGAAUUUUAAUCGCGAGCAAUGGAACAACGGGGGUGUUUUAGACAGGGCCCAAGUGAGAAGGAAUUUGUAACGAGUCGAGAAGUUUGUGCGACUUUUACGUGCCGCGUAAGCACGUGGGUAUUCGAAUUCACGGAGAAACAAACAACUAUACAACACACUUUCUUGUCAAUGAACGAGGACGAUAGAGAGACUUCGAUCGUAACGAAGAUUAAACACGAGACUCAAAAGCAAGCAAGCAAGCAAGCAAGAAAGCAAGAAAGAAAGAAAAAAAGAAAGAAAGAAAGAGAGAAAGAAAGAGAGAAAUGAGAAAGAAAGAAAAGAAAAAAGAAAAACAAUCGCACGAGGGAAGAAAGGGCGGGGUGAGUCGAGUCGGUUUUUAUACAACGACUCAUUUUUUCAUGUGCGGAUAACGAAGAAGGAAACAGUGUUACGAAGAUAAAAGUAAAUACGUAUUUAAUGUGCGGUAUAAUAAUAUCGUAACAGUGUGGGAGAAAGCUGCACGACGAUAUUUUCUCGAAGGAAAAUUUCAUAAUCGGGCGUAUUUUAUUGUCGAGCGAGAAAAAUGUAUGCGCGGACGCGUUAUCCGCCGACGGAUGGACGACGAUUCGAGGACGAUCGAGAAUGCGACUUGCGAGACUCGGCCACGCUCGCGGAGAGGAAUAAUACGCGCGUCUCUUCGCGUGCGGACGGUAAGAAUAGUUUGAUCGUUAAAUUUCAAAGGGGGAUGCCGAGUUACUUUGCGAUUUAUGACGCAUUCAUCGCUUUUAUAGUAAGAAUAUUAUCCUAUGUGAAUUUGAUCGAAAGAUGAGAGUUAAAAGUGUAAUCGGCAAAAGUCGAAUAAUCAACGAAGAAGAUACGAAAAAGUGAAUGAGUGAGUGAGUGAGAGAGAGAGAGAGAGAGAGAAAGAGAGAAAGUGAGAGAGAGAGAGAGAGAGAGAGUAUAGGAGCCAAACGAUACGGCCCUGGUCUCUCGGUGGUUGAUAGGGUAUAAUCAUGCCGAGUUUCAUAUCUCGAAGGGGCCACGGGAAGAUGGUCCAACAUCUGCCGCUGCAGGGAAUCUCUGCCCACAUGCUGGCCAGCAUACGGACGCACACGUACGCGUUCACGUACAAGCGCAAAAAGUGACGUAGGUACACGGUGGGACGUCAUGUAAAUUCAUUCGAAACACAUGGCAGGACCCGAGAGCGCGCGGCGUUUCUCUUCUCUGCAAAAGGCUUUCGAGAAAAGGAAUCUCGAAGAUGGCAGAAAAAGAGACCAUAACUUUGACUUCGACUUUGGUACUCCGGCUAUUUCAGGCCGUGUCACGGAUCAAAUAAAUCCCUAUCCUAGUAGAGUUCCUUCCUCCCUUUUGUAUUUUCUUUUCGAGCGGUCUUCCUUUGAAACGAUCGACAGUUAAAUAUAUCUAAAUAAUUUGAAAUUAAUAUAAAAAGAUGUCAAAUCUUGACAAAAGGUCCUUUCUCUCUUUUUUUUUUUUUUUUUUUUUUUUUUUUUAUUAUUUCCAUUUUCUUUUUCUUUCCAACAAUGUAUCAAUUUUUAUACAUUCGAUAUAAAAAUUAAUAGCGAGAGCUUGAUAGCAACGCACGAUAUUUCGCCAUUGAAACGUUAAUGACGCCGGAGGGACGUUGAAAAAUGAGGCUCGGGGAGAAGCGGAGUAGGAGAAGUAAGUGGUAUGGAGGCCGAGGGGGUGGACGGGCUCGACCGAGAAAAGAGAUACGCUCGCAGCGCGCGCGGAAUUGCAGAACUGCCUUUAAUUAAAGUCAUCAAGCUAGUUGAACAAUUAUCAUUAAUUAUGGACGUCGCUUGGUCGCUCACACGAGCCAUCGCUGCUGCUAGAGUUGUAUGUACGUAUGUCGGAAACGUUUGACUUUCCUUGCGUGCUGCGGCUUCGUUUCUACGUUAAAGAAAGAAAGAAAGAAAGAAAGAAAAAGAAAAAGAGGAGAGAGAGAGAGAGAGAGAGAGUGAGAGAUAAACUGAAACAGAAGGAGAAGAGCCACGAUGGAAAGUCGUAAAAUAUAGAAACUUGAAAGAUUUGAAAAUAACUCGCUUCGUCGAGUUGUCAUUCUCUUUAUAAUUUGAUAAUGAAUUUUCAAAAUUGCUUUUGCUUUCGUUUUUCGUUUCUUUCACUUCUUCUCUUAUUUCUUUUCUUUUUUCUUUUUCCUUUCUCUUUCACUUCACAUAAAAUUCAUUCGAAAUCGUUUCCAAAAUAAAAUAGUCAGGAUCGUCGACUUUUUUUGUAUUCGUUAAAAAGUAAACGAAGCGCACCAUGGUCCCCGUUUUAUCUUUUUCCUUCUUCUUCUUUUUCUUCUUUCUUUAUUAUUUUUUUUUGUUUUGUUUUUUUUUUUUUGUUUUUUUUACUUCUUUGACUUCUUUACUGAUGACCGAAAAAAAGGGAGACGAAGAAGAUGAUAGCUAGUUCAGUUUGGUUCGUGAUAAAAAACAAGCGGCAGAAAGAAAGAAAAAAGUGUUGCUUCUCUCGGAGCAGCGUCGAUUUCGAAAUCCAGAUGUACUGAAAAGACAGAGAGAGAGAGAGAGAAAAACAGAGAGAGAGAGAGAGAGAGAGAGAGAGAGAGAGAGAGAGAGAGGAAGAGUGGAUCGUGUGCCACAAUAAAGAUAACGAUUUACGUUCGACUUUAUCGCUGGGUAGCCGGGGCCAAUGACUCGAUGAACGGGGAGAGCUCGUGUCUCGAUUCCAUGAUUUAAGUUCCGUUGUUGCCACCGAUUCGAGCCAAUCGCUUCGUUUUUACUGAUUUGGAUAAAAGAGAGAAAAAGGGAAAGAUGAGUUUCUCGACGAAACGAUAACAAAGUUCUACUAUAAAUUCGUAACAUUAAUUACAUUGUUUUCGAAUUAAAACGUUUUCAUAUCGUGCAUCGUUACUAUUUUCUUCGAUGAACGAAGAACACGUAAAGAUUAAAAUAUUUCUUUUCUUCCUUGGCAUGCUCGUUUUCUUUGAAAUUAUCGAUAACUAUACUUUAGGUUUAUAGACAUAUGUGCAUAUAUAUAUAUGUACAAUGUUUUAUUUUAUGGUAAACACACGACCUACCUUAAAUACGAUGUACUACGUUUACGUUUCCCCUUUUCGAUCCCUACAAUUUUACUUCUCUCUUUCCCCUUUCUUUUUCUUCUUUUUCUUUUCUUUCUUUUUUUCUUUCUAACGAGACAAUGACGUUAAUAACGAUAAUGAUCCUGUUAAGAGUUCUUAGGGGGCUUAUUCUUAUGUAAAAAGAAAGAAAAAAAAAAAAAAAAAAGAAAAAAGAAAAAGAAAAGAAAAAAGGGAAAAAAUAAUAAAAAAAAGAAAAAAAAAGAAGAAAAAAAAAAGAAAUAAAGAAAAGAGAAUUUAAGACCGGGACGAGUUUACGACUGCGAAUACCGGUAGAACAGGCCGUAUUUCUUCGCGAAAUUUAACGAACCUUCGCGCAAUGGGACACCAUUAAAAAAUUCCGGAGCGUCAUGUAGCACGGCGCACGCAAUAGCGAUAAAUGCCGAGGGAGGAAGAGAGAAAAA